UUGAAGGCACACAUCACAAACUAGUUUCUACGAAUGACUCUGUGUACUUUUAAUAUGAAGAUAUUUCCAUGUCUAUGAUUGGCGUCAAAUCGCUUGAAAUCUCCACUUGCAAAUUCCACAAAAAGAGUGUUUCAAAACUGCUCUGAAUAAAGGAAGGUUCCACUCUGUGAGUUGAAUACACACAACACAAAGGAUUUACUGAGAAUUCUUCUGUCUAGCAUUAUAUGAAGAAAUCCCCUUUCCAACGAAGGCCUCAAUGAAGUCCAAAAAAGCAAUUGCAGGCUUUACAAACAGAGGGUUUCCAAACUGCUCUAUGAAAAGAAAGGUUAAACUUUGUGAGUUGAA
rnacentral:lncRNA from 1 species